UUGAGGUUAUCUUUUUAGUUUUCGUGAUUUUUUAUUUUUAAAUUAAAUUUAAGUUGGUUGCAUUGACAAAUGAAGUAAUGUCAUUUAUGAAAUCAGCUGGUAUUAAUUUAUUUUUUAUUAUUUCUUAAAUUUAUUUGAUUUUGUUGAAUAGAAAAGGUGUUUAUUGAAGAGAUUUUAAUGGAAAUUAACCUAAAGAUGCCGUGGAUGAUGAAAAAUCAAUUAAAAUUGAUGUUUAUCAAAAUUUUUAACUCCGAUAAUCAUUAAUCGGAAGAAAAGGAUUUUUGUUUGGGAAUAACACGGAAAAUAAAAAAUAUGAGGUUUUAUCAAGAAAAGAUGUUUAUUGAAGAGAUUUUAAUAGAAACUAACCUAAAGAUACCAUGGAUGAUGAAAAACCAAUUAAAACCGAGGUUCAUUCAGAUUUUUUUUUACUUCAAUAACCACUAAUUGGAAGAAAAGGAUUUUUGUUUGGGAAUAAUACGGAAAAUAAGAAAUAAAAUGAAUUUAUUAAGAAAAGGUAUUUAUUGAAGAGAUUUUAAUGGAAAUUAACCUAAAGAUACCACGUUAGUAAAUAAUUAAUA